GCCCAGGCACGAAGGGUCGGACAACGCACAGGCAGUUUCCAUGUGUUUACUCCCAAAUUGAUUCCGGACGUUUUAAGCCACCAUUUAAUGCACCGUUUGUUGCUACUUAAGCUCCACACCCUCCUCUUCAUUUCCCCUCAAACCACACAGACCGAGAGCCUCCAGGCUGCUCGAAUUUGGCAUCGCAACUCCGCGGUACUGCCGCAGUAUAUCGUCGAAUUCGAGCAACGUCUCCGUUCUCUUCUGUGAGGACGUUCGCGGCGGCGAGCGAUUUCGAGAGAACCAGUGCACACGACGUCCGCGAAUUCACCAUCGAGUUCGUCUUGUCGAGCCGACAGCGUUCGUCUGUUUCACCAUCGUUAGAGAUUAACGGAAUCUCGACAUCGUCAACCAGCCAGACUGUCAACCACUACGGCCACGAACGCCAUUCCUGUAUUGUGGUUGUGCUGAUUGCAACGAGUGUUUUUGCGAAGAGUGUACCAACUCCUCAUCUCACCAAGGCAAGUGACACACCCUCACAAAUGUCCUAGAUUUUAUUCAUGCACCGUAGUGAUUUUUGUAGUAAGUCUAGGGAUAUGCUUUGCUUUUGUAAUCCCAGUAGUCUAGCUACCCCUAUUUGACUUACUUUGUCGCCAUUAAAUUUAGUUGUAGCUCAGCUAUGCUAUAAAAGAGAUUUUGUUAGCGAGUUAUGGAAAAACAACUAAGUUUAAUGAA